GAGAUCUACAGUUGAAGACUGGUUUAACUGGACAGCUUUCACACGUGAGAAUAUAAAUGUAUGUGAAAAAGAAAGAUGCUGAAAAUAAACUCGGAAAACUGCUCUGGAUGCAUAAAAGUUAAAACAUGACUAAGUAAUAUAUUAUUAACAGCUUACCUCUUUUCAGCAGAGGGUUGCUCUCCUUUAAAGUCAAUGAGCCAAUACUUUGACCCAUCGCUCUUGAAGGACACACAGCUGGGUUCAGGUUCUGGUUCAGGAUCAGGACACUCUGGUCUCUGCUGGGUCCUGAUAGAAAAACACAUUUAUUAAGGGUCACAUGUUCAGGUAAAGUCUCCCAGUAUAUCAUGUGCUAUUAAUAUGAAUAUAUGUGAGACUAAUUAUUAACAAUAACAUGGCAAUAAUGCUUUACUUUCUGUCCAAAACCUAAUUAAAAUAUCUUUUGAAAUCAGAAUAAAAAGAAAAUAAAUUUAAAAAAUGUUGUUUAAACAAAGAUAUUUUGAGAGAGAUGGGAAAUUAUUUUGCAAAACUAUUCUCAUUUCAGUCAUUAACUGCAAUAAUU